rnacentral:misc_RNA from 1 species
AAGUCGUAACAAGGUUUCCGUAGGUGAACCUGCGGAAGGAUCAUUCAUUGAGCUGCACAAGCUUGCUUUUUUUCUUGACACAAGGCAUUGCCUUUAGUUGAUGUCUUCUACGUUAAAGUGGAUGUGUGUGUGUGUGUGAUUGACUCACUGAAAGAGAAAGAGAAGUGUAUAAAUUAUUACAA